UACGGAGGGUGCAAGCGUUGUCCGGAAUCACUGGGCGUAAAGGGCGCGUAGGCGGCCUGGUAAGUAGGGGGUGAAAUCCUGCGGCUUAACCGCAGGGCUGCCUUCUAAACUGUCAGGCUUGAGCACGGUAGAGGCAGAUGGAAUUCCCGGUGUAGCGGUGGAAUGCGUAGAGAUCGGGAAGAACAUCAGUGGCGAAGGCGGUCUGCUGGGCCGUUGCUGACGCUGAGGCGCGAAAGCCAGGGGAGCGAACGGG
rnacentral:rRNA from 1 species